UACGUAGGGUGCAAGCGUUAUCCGGAAUUAUUGGGCGUAAAGAGCUCGUAGGCGGUUUGUCGCGUCUGCUGUGAAAACUGGAGGCUCAACCUCCAGCCUGCAGUGGGUACGGGCAAACUAGAGUGCGGUAGGGGAGAUUGGAAUUCCUGGUGUAGCGGUGGAAUGCGCAGAUAUCAGGAGGAACACCAAUGGCGAAGGCAGCUCGCUGGGACGGUACUGACGCUGAGGAGCGAAAGCGUGGGUAGCAAACAGG
rnacentral:rRNA from 1 species